UACGUAGGGAGCAAGCGUUGUCCGGAUUUAUUGGGCGUAAAGAGCUCGUAGGCGGCUUGGCAAGUCGGAUGUUAAACCCCCAGGCUUAACCUGGGGCAGCCAUUCGAUACUGCCAUGGCUUGAGUUCGGUAGGGGAUUGUGGAAUUCCCGGUGUAGCGGUGAAAUGCGCAGAUAUCGGGAGGAACACCAAUGGCGAAGGCAGCAAUCUGGGCCGACACUGACGCUGAGGAGCGAAAGCGUGGGGAGCAAACAGG
rnacentral:rRNA from 1 species